AUUGAACGCUGGCGGCAUGCUUUACACAUGCAGGUCGGACGGCAGCACAGAGAAGCUUGCUUCUUGGGUGGCGAGUGGCGAACGGGUGAGUAAUAUAUCGGGACGUAUCGAGUAAUGGGGGAUAACUAAUCGAAAGAUUAGCUAAUACCGCAUAUUCUCUGAGGAGGAAAGCAGGGGACCUUCUGGCCUUGCGUUAUUCGAGCGGCCGAUAUCUGAUUAGCUAGUUGGUGGGGUAAAGGCCUACCAAGGCGACGAUCAGUAGCGGGUCUGAGAGGAUGAUCAGCCACACUGGAACUGAGACACGGCCCAGACUCCUACGGGAGGCAGCAGUGGGGAAUUUUGGACAAUGGGCGCAAGCCUGAUCCAGCCAUGCCGCGUGUCUGAAGAAGGCCUUCGGGUUGUAAAGGACUUUUGUCAGGGAAGAAAAGGCUGAUGCUAAUACCGACAGCUGAUGACGGUACCUGAAGAAUAAGCACCGGCUAACUACGUG
rnacentral:rRNA from 1 species